CCCUUAGAUGUUCUGGGCCGCACGCGCGUUACACUGAUGCAUUCAACGAGCUUAUAACCUUGGCCGAGAGGCCUGGGCAAUCUUGUUAACGUGCAUCGUGAUAGGGAUAGAUUAUUGAAAUUAUUAAUCUUGAACAAGGAAUUCCUAGUAAACGCAGAUCAUCAAUCUGCAUUGAUUACGUCCCUGCCCUUUGUACACACCGCCCGUCGCACCUACCGAUUGGAUGGUCCGGUGAAGCCUCGGGAUUGUGGUUCUUGCCGCUUUAUUGUGGCGUGACCGCGAGAACUUGUCUAAACCUUAUCAUCUAGAGGAAGGUGAAGUCGUAACA
rnacentral:rRNA from 1 species